GCCUUAGUAGUAUAAAAAUUACAUUGGUCUUGUAAACCAAAAAUGGAAUUCCAUUUUCCCUAAGACA
rnacentral:tRNA from 1 species